rnacentral:misc_RNA from 1 species
CACCAAUCAGCCAAAAACUCAAAAAUAAAACAGUUAUAUACACCUACCCAGUAGUGGGGGAGUGAACCCAUUGUCAAUCCCUUGCCCGAAGGGCUGAGGAAGGUCCACGGAGCAGCAGGCACCAGGGGCUAAACCCUGGAGUAAUUUGCAGCAAGGAAUGACUGCAUGCAGGGAACCAUUGCUUAAUUUGGAUUCUGCUGCUGAGAAUGUUUUAUAUCUAUUUGCAGAAUUAGGAAGUCUGGUGUGUAAAGUAGAUAUUUCAG